rnacentral:rRNA from 1 species
GACGAACGCUGGCGGCGUGCUUAACACAUGCAAGUCGAACGGAAAGGCCCUGCUUUUGUGGUGUGCUCGAGUGGCGAACGGGUGAGUAACACGUGAGUAACCUGCCCUUGACUUUGGGAUAACUUCAGGAAACUGGGGCUAAUACCGGAUAGGAGCUCCUGCUGCAUGGGGGGGGUUGGAAAGUUUCGGCGGUUGGGGAUGGACUCGCGGCUUAUCAGCUUGUUGGUGGGGUAGUGGCUUACCAAGGCUUUGACGGGUAGCCGGCCUGAGAGGGUGACCGGCCACAUUAGGACUGAGAUACGGACCAGACUCCUACGGGAGGGAGCAGUGGGGAAUAUUGCACAAUGGGCGGAAGCCUGUUGCAGCAACGCCGCGUGCGGGAUGACGGCCUUCGGGUUGUAAACCGCUUUCGCCUGUGACGAAGCGUGAGUGACGGUAAUGGGUAAAGAAGCACCGGCUAACUACGUG